GUGGAAGACCGUCUUCUCAGCGAUAAGACCUAGACCAGACGGUCUUAUAAGGGGUGCAAACAGCAGCUCUGGCACAGUCGGAGUCGAUUGGUCGGGCACUACCCAGCAGGACUUUCGUAGAGUGAGACUUGGGUCUGUUUGGAUUGUACCCAUACCUAACCAGCCGUCAAUCAAGCAGCACCUCCUGUCAGUCGGUGGCCUGUCAGUUUUCCGUCUGUCCAGUCGGGAGUAGAGAACGCCAGCUUCACACCCCACAGCAGAAACCACGCGACGGUCACAUCCUCUGGACAUUAGCAGUCGCGAGGGCGACCAACCAGCGACUACGCAGAGACAGCGCAAAUACAUCCGUGAGGCCGAAGCUCCCAGCUGAAAGAUGGCGGAGUUCUGGCAGCAGGUCGGGCAGUUCCUCUUGAAUGAGGUGAUGAACGAUAUGGCGGAAUGUGCGUUCCGGAGCAUGGACGCCGACCAGGCCCGGGUGUGCAGGCUGCUCUGGAAACUCAGGGCUACGGUCACCAGGAUAACUUUUACCGGGAAGCAGAUCGAAUUCUUCUUUAAAGAGUUGUCUCGUUUCCUAGAAAACGACGAGGCCGACUUGGAGCAGGGACUCCAGAUGAUCGUCCGGUCUGUGAUGGUGGCGAGAAAUAUUUUUGAGGGCUACGAAGAGGUUCAGGACCUGAUAGAUGAAAUUAAGCGAGAGUGGGACCGUUACAAAGCUAGAAACAUGCGUAAGUGGGAUUAGUGAAAACUAAAAUCUUAGUGCUCAUUUAAUAAAAACUCUAUUCGUUCCCUAGUUUAUUAUUUAAUUUGAAAUCUGUGUCAAUGGAAGCUGAAUAUAAACAAAAAAAAUUGAGGAACUAACUUUUUUUGCAUACAGUGCUUGUUUAUAGUGGCAACGUGGAAGCAACAUGAAAUAUUCAUGCUCCAAAACACUGCAGUAACAACUUCACAAAUUAGUAAUUAUCAAAAUUUCAAUCUUUGUUUGCAACACCUUUUUUGAGGAUCAUGAAUCAUGUUGAUCGAUGUAAUUAAGGAGCAGAAAAACUACAAUGCAGAGAACAUUCUCCACGUACAGUCCCUGAAUUGAUUUAAAAGGAAACAACACUCUUGUUAUUCCAGUAAUUUGGCUAAGACCUAAAUGAGUGAAACGUGUAUAUAAAUGAAAAAUUAACAAAAAGUCAUGUCUUUUGAAAUAUGGCUUUCAUAUUUGCAAUAAUGUCUAGAAGACAACAUGAAAGCAUAAACCACAUUCGUUCUA